rnacentral:tRNA from 2 species
GCCACUUUGGCGCAGCUGGUAGCGCACGUGCCUUGUAAGCAUGAGGUCGGGGGUUCGAACCCCUCAAGUGGCU